rnacentral:rRNA from 1 species
UACGUAGGGUGCAAGCGUUAAUCGGAAUUACUGGGCGUAAAGCGUGCGCAGGCGGUUAUGUAAGACAGAUGUGAAAUCCCCCGGGCUCAACCUGGGGAACUGCAUUUGUGACUGUAGAGCUGGAGUACGGCAGAGGGGGGAUGGAAUUCCGCGUGUAGCAGUGAAAUGCGUAGAUAUGCGGAGGAACACCAAUGGCGAAGGCAAUCCCCUGGGCCUGUACUGACGCUCAUGCACGAAAGCGUGGGGAGCAAACAGG